rfam:Cavia porcellus supercont2_9 genomic scaffold, whole genome shotgun sequence.
GGGGAUUUAGCUUAGUAGCAUAAGUGCCUGCCUUGCAAGCAGGCAGUCAUGAGCUUGAUCCCUG